CCUGGUGGCUCAGAUGGUAAAGCAUCUGCCUGCAAUGCGGGAGACCCAGGUUCAAUCCCUGGGUCAGGA
rfam:TPA: Bos taurus chromosome 7, whole genome shotgun sequence.